AUGAUGACAAGUACACUGAGGCGGCACAAGGGUUCUGGAGAGGGGCUUGCGGACCACAAGGACCGACUUGGAGCUCCUCUCUGCCCUCGCAGGCAUUACGAUGACGAGGCCGCCGAGGCAGCGCAAAGGUUUUGGAACUGUCUGUGUGUUCUCAUGCAAGAAAGCUUGCUUGCUAUGUCCUUAUUAUUUUGGCAGCAUACCAAGCUAUGCAUGCUUCUCAGCUGCAGGUGUUCCCAAAUGCUGCUGACAACCAGAUGCAAGUGGGUACCCGUGUGUUGCAAGGUGAACCUGAGAUGGCAACAGACAGCAAGUUCCUGGGCGAGUUUGACCUCAUCGUCAUCCCGCCAGCACCAAGGGCCACACACACAGAUCGAGGUGGACACCGUCGCCUAA
rnacentral:rRNA from 1 species